rnacentral:rRNA from 1 species
UACGUAGGGUGCAAGCGUUAUUCGGAAUUACUGGGCGUAAAGCGUGCGCAGGCGGCCGAGCAAGUCGAGUGUGAAAGCCCCGAGCUUAACUUGGGAAUUGCGCUCGAAACUACUUGGCUGGAGUGUGGCAGAGGAAGGUGGAAUUCCAGGUGUAGCGGUGAAAUGCGUAGAGAUCUGGAGGAACACCGAUGGCGAAGGCAGCCUCCUGGGCCAACACUGACGCUCAUGCACGAAAGCGUGGGGAGCAAACAGG